GCCUUUGUGGUGUAGUGGUCAGCACGCUUGACGCAUAUUCGAGAGGUCCGUGGUUCGAGUUCCGGCGAGAGCA
rnacentral:tRNA from 1 species